AUAGGGAUGUAAUUUUAAAAAAACAUGUCAUGUUAUUGUCUAUUAAGUAUUUUAGUGUCCUUUAACAGACAGCAUUUUCCAUAAGUCUUUAACCAUUGCGAGUUAAACAUUACAAGCCAACAGUAGAGUCUUUACACAGUGACUGCUGACUAAGAUAAGAUUAUCAGCUAUUGAACUCCUCCCGUAUCUGGCUAGCAGGACACAUGCCCAACACCAGGUGAUGUCAUGUACUCUUCACCUGGGCACCUUAUCGCAAUCUGAUAUACUGGAGAAGGACGUGCUAAGCCAACACAUCAGAAGUUGAGGGAGUACUGUCUAUAAAGAUUCUUGGAGGAAUACGCUUCACAUUGCUGGUAGGGGUGCCUGCUUAUUAUUAUGGAAAGUCAGGGUAGAAAUUGUCAUUUUGAAAGCCUAGAUGAGACUUGGGUUUAGACUGUGUCAAACUGGGAAUAAGGCCAGGUUGCAUGAAAACUUUCAGACAUUCCUAUCACAAUACUGGGAGGAAGAUAUGACGAGAAAAUCUGAUAGAAAUGGGUUUGAUUACUGAUCUGAGUUGUUAGAGGGGGUGACUUAUUUCUGAUCAUAUCAGACACAUUAUGAAAUGUUUUAAUAUACUUCUACUAUACUUAGAGCUGCCGCAGUUACCGCGGUAACGCAAUCACAUCACACCCACUGCAGAGUCAAACUGAUC